AGAGUUUGAUCCUGGCUCAGAACGAACGCUGGCGGCAGGCUUAACACAUGCAAGUCGAACGAACCUUCGGGUUAGUGGCGGACGGGUGAGUAACGCGUGGGAAUCUGCCCUCAGGAGGGGGAUAACGGCUGGAAACGGCCGCUAAUACCCCAUAUGCCGAGAGGUGAAAUGAAUUUCGCCUGAGGAUGAGCCCGCGUCUGAUUAGCUAGUUGGUGAGGUAAGAGCUCACCAAGGCAUCGAUCAGUAGCUGGUCUGAGAGGAUGAUCAGCCACACUGGGACUGAGACACGGCCCAGACUCCUACGGGAGGCAGCAGUGGGGAAUUUUCCGCAAUGGGCGAAAGCCUGACGGAGCAACGCCGCGUGAGGGAUGAAGGCCUCUGGGCUGUAAACCUCUUUUCUCAAGGAAGAAGAUCUGACGGUACUUGAGGAAUAAGCCACGGCUAAUUCCGUGCCAGCAGCCGCGGUAAUACGGGAGUGGCAAGCGUUAUCCGGAAUUAUUGGGCGUAAAGCGUCCGCAGGCGGCCCUUCAAGUCUGCUGUUAAAGCGUGGAGCUUAACUCCAUCAUGGCAGUGGAAACUGUUGGGCUUGAGUGUGGUAGGGGCAGAGGGAAUUCCCGGUGUAGCGGUGAAAUGCGUAGAUAUCGGGAAGAACACCAGUGGCGAAGGCGCUCUGCAGGGCCAUAACUGACGCUCAUGGACGAAAGCCAGGGGAGCGAAAGGGAUUAGAUACCCCUGUAGUCCUGGCCGUAAACGAUGAACACUAGGUGUCGGGGGAAUCGACCCCCUCGGUGUCGUAGCCAACGCGUUAAGUGUUCCGCCUGGGGAGUACGCACGCAAGUGUGAAACUCAAAGGAAUUGACGGGGGCCCGCACAAGCGGUGGAGUAUGUGGUUUAAUUCGAUGCAACGCGAAGAACCUUACCAGGGUUUGACAUCCUGCGAAUCUCUUGGAAACGAGAGAGUGCCUUCGGGAACGCAGUGACAGGUGGUGCAUGGCUGUCGUCAGCUCGUGUCGUGAGAUGUUGGGUUAAAUCCCGCAACGAGCGCAACCCACGUCUUUAGUUGCCAGCAUUUAGUUGGGCACUCUAGAGAGACCGCCGGUGAUAAACCGGAGGAAGGUGUGGAUGACGUCAAGUCAUCAUGCCCCUUACAUCCUGGGCUACACACGUACUACAAUGCUACGGACAAAGAGCAGCAAGUUCGCGAGGACAAGCAAAUCUCAUAAACCGUGGCUCAGUUCAGAUCGUAGGCUGCAACUCGCCUACGUGAAGGAGGAAUCGCUAGUAAUCGCAGGUCAGCAUACUGCGGUGAAUACGUUCCCGGGCCUUGUACACACCGCCCGUCACACCAUGGAAGUUGGCCACGCCCGAAGCCGUUACUCCAACCCUUGUGGAGGAGGACGUCGAAGGUGGGGCUGAUGACUGGGGUGAAGUCGUAACAAGGUA
rnacentral:rRNA from 1 species